rnacentral:rRNA from 1 species
GACGAACGCUGGCGGCGUGCCUAAUACAUGCAAGUAGAACGCUGAAGGAGGAGCUUGCUUCUCUGGAUGAGUUGCGAACGGGUGAGUAACGCGUAGGUAACCUGCCUGGUAGCGGGGGAUAACUAUUGGAAACGAUAGCUAAUACCGCAUAAUAGCAGUUGUUGCAUGAUAACUGUUUGAAAGGUGCAAUUGCACCACUACCAGAUGGACCUGCGUUGUAUUAGCUAGUUGGUGGGGUAACGGCUCACCAAGGCGACGAUACAUAGCCGACCUGAGAGGGUGAUCGGCCAAACUGGGACUGAGACGCGGCCCAGACUUCUACGGGAGGCAGCAGUAGGGAAUCUUCGGCAAUGGACGGAAGUCUGACCGAGCAACGCCGCGGGAGUGAAGAAGGUUUUCGGAUCGUAAAGCUCUGUUGUAAGAGAAGAACGAGUGUGAGAGUGGAAAGUUCACACUGUGACGGUAUCUUACCAGAAAGGGACGGCUAACUACGUG